ACACGCAGGGCGCCGACUGGGGGUUUCUGUGGAUCUUCACAUCUGUGAAGACACCACAACACUGCUUCAUUGCUCGUGAAACUUCAGCGUUGCAAAGCAUUCCCAACUGGUGGCUGGAGACUUGAACACAGAUCCUUGAGCAUGGCGAAGUGUGUCCUCUAUCAGGAACUUCACCACUCCAGGCCAGUUUUUCAGAUAGAAAGAGAGAGAAAGGGAGAGAAGGAGAGGGGGAGAGGAGGAGAGACCACAGCAUGAAAGCAUCCCCCAGUGUCUUCGCACUCCCGUGUGGAGCCAGGGAGCUCAAACUCGAAUCAUUCACCAGGCAGAGCAGAUGCUGUCCAGGUGCGCUAGCUCAUCACUUCCUGUAUUUUCUACAAGACCUGAAGGAAUAACGAAAGCGAUCUGUGCUUAGUUGUUACAAGCAGAGUGAUCCCAAAUUUUGUUAAUU